UACGUAGGGUGCGAGCGUUAAUCGGAAUUACUGGGCGUAAAGUGUGCGCAGGCGGCCGAGCAAGUCGAGUGUGAAAGCCCCGAGCUUAACUUGGGAACUGCGCUCGAAACUACUUGGCUAGAGUGUGGCAGAGGGAGGUGGAAUUCCAGGUGUAGCAGUGAAAUGCGUAGAUAUCGUAAGGAAGACCAGUGGCGAAGGCGGGUCUCUGGACAGUUCCUGACGCUGAGGCACGAAGGUCAGGGGAGCAAACGGG
rnacentral:rRNA from 1 species